rnacentral:rRNA from 1 species
GGGAACCCGCACAAGCGGUGGAGUAUGUUGUUUAAUUCGAAGAUACACGAAGAACCUUACCAGGUCUUGACAUACCAUUGACAGGCGCAGAGAUGUGCUCUUCUUCGGACAAUGGAUACAGGUGGUGCAUGGUUGUCGUCAGCUCGUGCCGUGAGGUGUUGGGUUAAGUCCCGCAACGAGCGCAACCCCUAUUGCUAGUUACUAACAUUCAGUUGAGGACUCUAGUGAGACUGCCAGUGACAAACUGGAGGAAGGUGGGGAUGACGUCAAAUCAUCAUGCCCUUUAUGACCUGGGCUACACACGUGCUACAAUGGUUGGUACAACGAGUUGCGAGUCGGUGACGGCGAGCUAAUCUCUUAAAGCCAAAUCUCAGUUCGGAUUGUAGGCUGCAACUCGCCUACAUGAAGUCGGAAUCGCUAGUAAUCGCGGAUCAGCACGCCGCGGUGAAUACGUUCCCGGGCCUU